GGUCUGAGAGGAUGAACGGCCACAUUGGGACUGAGACACGGCCCAGACUCCUACGGGAGGCAGCAGUGGGGAAUCUUCCGCAAUGGGCGCAAGCCCGACGGAGCAACGCCGCGUGAGUGAAGAAGGUCUUCGGAUCGUAAAGCUCUGUUGACGGGGACGAACGUGCGUGAUGCGAACAGUGUCAUGCAAUGACGGUACCUGUCGAGGAAGCCACGGCUAACUACGUGCCAGCAGCCGCGGUAAUACGUAGGUGGCGAGCGCUGUCCGGAAUCAUUGGGCGUAAAGGGAGCGCAAGCGGGCAAGUAAGUCUUUCUUAAAAGUGCGGGGCUCAACCCCGUGAUGGGAAAGAAACUACAUGUCUUGAGUACAGGAGAGGAAAGCGGAAUUCCCAGUGCAGCGGUGAAAUGCGUAGAUAUUGGGAGGAACACCAGUGGCGAAGGCGGCUUUCUGGACUGCAACUGACGCUGAGGCUCGAAA
rnacentral:rRNA from 1 species